rnacentral:rRNA from 1 species
AACUUACAUCUACAAACGCCGGGGAAUUACGAGCUACGCUUAAAACCCAAAGGAUUUGACGGUGUCCCACCCCCCUAGAGGAGCCUGUUCUAUAAUCGAUAAUACCCGCUAUACCCAACCACCUCUCGCUAUUCAGUCUGUAUACCUCCGUCGAAAGCUUACCAUGUGAACGCCUACAGUAAGUACAAUGGCUACCAACGUCAACACGUCAGGUCAAGGUGCAGCUUAAGUGGUGGAAAGUAAUUGGCUACAAUUUCUAACCUAGAACAAACGGAAGACUAUGUGAAACCAUAGUUCUGAAGGCGGAUUUAGUAGUAAAAAGAAAAUAGAGCGUUCUUUUUAACCCGGCUCUGGGACGCGUACACACCGCCCGUCAC